rnacentral:rRNA from 1 species
ACAGAAUGCUUAACACAUGCAAGUCAACUUGAACUUCGGUUUGGGUGGCGGACGGGUGAGUAACGCGUAAAGAACUUGCCUCACAGUUAGGGACAACAUUUGGAAACGAAUGCUAAUACCUGAUAUUAUGAUUUUAGGGCAUCCUAGAAUUAUGAAAGCUAUAUGCGCUGUGAGAGAGCUUUGCGUCCCAUUAGCUAGUUGGAGAGGUAACGGCUCACCAAGGCGAUGAUGGGUAGCCGGCCUGAGAGGGUGAACGGCCACAAGGGGACUGAGACACGGCCCUUACUCCUACGGGAGGCAGCAGUGGGGAAUAUUGGACAAUGGACCAAGAGUCUGAUCCAGCAAUUCUGUGUGCACGAUGAAGUUUUUCGGAAUGUAAAGUGCUUUCAGUUGGGAAGAAAAAAAUGACGGUACCAACAGAAGAAGUGACGGCUAAAUACGUGCCAGCAGCCGCGGUAAUACGUAUGUCACAAGCGUUAUCCGGAUUUAUUGGGCGUAAAGCGCGUCUAGGUGGUUAUGUAAGUCUGAUGUGAAAAUGCAGGGCUCAACUCUGUAUUGCGUUGGAAACUGUGUAACUAGAGUACUGGAGAGGUAAGCGGAACUACAAGUGUAGAGGUGAAAUUCGUAGAUAUUUGUAGGAAUGCCGAUGGGGAAGCCAGCUUACUGGACAGAUACUGACGCUGAAGCGCGAAAGCGUGGGUAGCAAACAGGAUUAGAUACCCUGGUAGUCCACGCCGUAAACGAUGAUUACUAGGUGUUGGGGGUCGAACCUCAGCGCCCAAGCAAACGCGAUAAGUAAUCCGCCUGGGGAGUACGUACGCAAGUAUGAAACUCAAAGGAAUUGACGGGGACCCGCACAA